rnacentral:rRNA from 1 species
AGCAGCCGCGGUAAUUCCAGCUCCAAUAGCGUAUAUUAAAGUUGUUGCAGUUAAAAAGCUCGUAGUUGAAUUUCGGGAUCAAUGCGUCGGUCGUGCCUCGGUACGCACUAACGAUAUUGACCUCUACCUUCUGACGAACCGUGAUGUCAUUAAUUUGGUGUUACGGGGGGUUAGGACUGUUACUUUGAAAAAAUUAGAGUGUUUAAAGCAAGCAAUCGCUCGAAUACAUUAGCAUGGAAUAAUGAAAUAGGACGUUCGAACCUAUUUUGUUGGUUUCUAGGAUCGACGUAAUGAUUAAUAGGGAUAGUUGGGGGCAUUAGUAUUCAAUUGUCAGAGGUGAAAUUCUUGGAUUUAUUGAAGACUAACUACUGCGAAAGCAUUUGCCAAGGAUGUUUUCAUCAAUCAAGAACGAAAGUUAGGGGAUCGAAGACGAUCAGAUACCGUCGUAGU